ACGUCAACGUUUCCCCAUUUUAUACAGACUUUAGCAAUUGUUAAUUGAACUCUUCUUUUUUGUGCAUGAUCGUUGAAAUUUGGGCAUUUCAAAAACUUCUAGUGGAUGACGAGGGACACUCCACGUUCUUAUUCUUUUCGUAGAAGCUGUUUGCAAAGGUUUCAAGGAAAAUGCCAAGAGAUUGAGUUGAGGAAGUUUAGCGGUCAACACUGGAUGGACCUCAGUUUGGAAACUUUCAAAGUAUAAUAGGUGGUGGAGCUCAGUUAUACCCCCCACGGGAGGAAAAAUAUUUAUUGGACCCUGGUGGAUUUAAAAGAAAUGCAUCCUGGAAGAUUUCGGGAGCGUCAUCGAAAGAUGCAUGGGUUCGCUUGACAGGAAUGGAUUCAAUAGCAGUUGGACUGCGAAGUUACAAACGGAGCAUUUUUUGGCAAAUGAAGAAAAUCGACAUCCCAAAGGCCUGCCAAUCAUAGAGCAACUGCGAGUUUUCAUUGUUUUUCCUCCUCAUUUACAAGCGCAGAACCAAUAUUCAGAGAUUGAGGAAACAGAUUAUGUGCCACAUUUUUAAAGGCAUAUGAACUUUGUCAAUCUAUUCCAUGUCGGUUUACUCUUAUUUCAUGUAACAUACACGAAUGAGUGGAACAUACAUAAAUCUAUCCAGUACAAAAGAACAAAGACAAAUACAGCAUAAUUUUACAGGAAAUGUAUUAAAUCAUAGACAAAUUCCAAAUUUGUUCCAUGUACUUGUAGUUCGUUCACCUGCAAUUGUGUCUCUUUUUGAUUUCUGCAUCUUGCAUAUUAAAUAAUUAAAU